GUUUCCCUGCAGCGUUCGAAGGUCAGCUGGGUUUUUCUUGAGCCUAAUUACUAACCCGGGAAUGUUGAUGAUUGUAAAAUGUGCAAGCCCGCCAUUGAACGGGAAGCCUGAUUUAUGAUCUCUUUUCCCACUUGAACCUAUUGGUUCAAGAGCAAUAGCAGGCUACGGCGCAUGCGGGGAUCAA
rnacentral:other from 1 species